rnacentral:snRNA from 1 species
GUAAUAUUGUAUUUAUUUGACAU